rnacentral:tRNA from 5 species
GAGCCCGUAGCUCAGCUGGUAGAGCACUUGACUUUUAAUCAGGUUGUCCCGGGUUCGAAUCCCGGCGGGCUCACCA